rnacentral:rRNA from 1 species
UACAGUUUGAUCAUGGCUCAGAUUGAACGCUGGCGGCAUGCCUUACACAUGCAAGUCGAACGGCAGCGGACCUUCGGGUNNNGGCGAGUGGCGAACGGGUGAGUAAAGUAUCGGAACGUACCUUUCAGUGGGGGAUAACGUAGCGAAAGUUACGCUAAUACCGCAUAUUCUGUGAGCAGGAAAGCAGGGGAUCGCAAGACCUUGCGCUGAUUGAGCGGCCGAUAUCAGAUUAGCUAGUUGGUGGGGUAAAGGCCUACCAAGGCGACGAUCUGUAGCGGGUCUGAGAGGAUGAUCCGCCACACUGGGACUGAGACACGGCCCAGACUCCUACGGGAGGCAGCAGUGGGGAAUUUUGGACAAUGGGCGCAAGCCUGAUCCAGCCAUGCCGCGUGAGUGAAGAAGGCCUUCGGGUUGUAAAGCUCUUUCGGCCGGGAAGAAAUCGCAUGGGCUAAUACCCUGUGUGGAUGACGGUACCGGAAUAAGAAGCACCGGCUAACUACGUGCCAGCAGCCGCGGUAAUACGUAGGGUGCGAGCGUUAAUCGGAAUUACUGGGCGUAAAGCGUGCGCAGGCGGUUUUUUAAGAUAGGCGUGAAAUCCCCGGGCUCAACCUGGGAACUGCGCUUAUGACUGGA